rnacentral:rRNA from 1 species
GACGAACGCUGGCGGCAGGCCUAACACAUGCAAGUCGAACGAGUGGCGGACGGGUGAGUAAUGUCUGGGAAACUGCCUGAUGGAGGGGGAUAACUACUGGAAACGGUAGCUAAUACCGCAUACCAUCGGAUGUGCCCAGAUGGGAUUAGCUAUGAGGUGGGGUAAAGGCUCACCUAGGCGACGAUCCCUAGCUGGUCUGAGAGGGUGACCAGGCACACUGGAACGGAGACACGGCCCAGACGCCUACGGGAGGCAGCAGUGGGGAAUAUUGCACAAUGGGCGCAAGACUGAUGCAGCCAUGCCGCGUGUAUGAAGAAGGCCUUCGGGUUGUAAAGUACUUUCAGCGGGGAGGCGUUACCCGCAGAAGAAGCACCGGCUAACUCCGUGCCAGCAGCCGCGGUAAUUC